UUUGUUCUUUACCUGUACUUGUAAUGUUAUUUCUUAUAAGGUAUUGAAAAACAUAUCAUUCACUAACCAUUCACUACAAUAAAACUAAAACAGAAACACAUUGUAAUUUAAUACUGCAUGAAAGAUUUUGCUGGGAUAUAUAUUGGAUGAAAUGAAGAAUAAAUUGUGGGGAUUGGAGCAUCCACCAACUAUGUGUCUCUGUUGAGGUUUAUGAGUGAUGGACUGUAGCAUUAUUUCUUCUAUCAUAAACUAUGGGGUAUGUGUGAAUAUAUGUAAGGGUUGCAUGUGUGAUGGUUAAAGCAUUGUUCUUUUAUCUAUCAAUUGUGUGUGCUUGUAUGCAUGCAUGUAUGCAUGUAUGCAUGCAUGUGUAAAGGGCCGCAAUAACAUUCGUCACCACUAGAUGGCGCUGGUUUCCACUGCGCCCCACGUGGAAGGCCAAGUUAGACAAGAUGGCGCUAGCCUUCGCCGUGCCAGCUGACUCCCUAUCGGGAGAUUAACUGUGUGCGCAUGUGCAAGAGUGCCUUCGUGCCAGGUCUUUGCCCAUUCCGGGGCGUGCCUGAUGAGGUCAUGAGUAAGCAACCAAUCAGGUGUAGAUGCACGCGCGAAGGUUUUAUGAGCGCGCCUGGCCAGCGUGCGGGGCUUCUCCAUAAGAUUAGAAACAAAGUUUUACAUAUAGCAAGGAUAUCUGCAUGUCCACGUGCUUCUUGCCGGUGGGAGGUUGCGAGUGGGACAUUUGGUGCCGAGAACCCAGAACAAAAAGGACACAUCAUUGCAGUGCCGGCACUAGGGGAAGCCUCCGUUUUACGGAAGAAAUCCAGAAGCUAUAGAACGCAGGUGGCCCCUGUUUGAUUUGACGGACCAAAGAAGCCGAUUCUGUUUCCCGGUAGGAUGGCCAGUUACCAGGUGAUGGGUGUGGCAAAGGAGAAGCGUGAUCAGAAUCUGGAGACGUGGUGCCAACCUCCACAAAGCUCAAAUUAGCCUUUGAUUUGAAAGACACCUCAGGUCCCCAGCUCAGAAAAAAAGAAAAAAGAAAAAGAAGAAAAAAGAAAAAAAAAAAGACACAUCAAUACAUCGAUUCUGCUGUGGCCAUCCAGGGCCUCCCCUGGUUCAAUUGGAGUUAUCUUGUCACAUUGCAGAUGAAGAAAGAGACCCACCCAGGGGCUUGCUUAAAGUCGGGCAAUGAUUAAUGGUGGAAGCCAGUCAGACCCAACAGCUCAUUCCCUGCAAUAGACAGUCAUCUGAUCUCUACCAAACAAGCCAUUCCAGGACACCUGCUCUGAACCAAUCUCCAUUCCCAGGCUCAGCUCCACUAAGCCCUCUACACAGUGUUUAAGUGUCCCCACUUUUACUAAGUGCUUUGAUGCUGUGUCCAUAUUUCCCUGCACCAAGAAAAUCCUAACCAGCAAGCACUGCCUCCUGGGGGUCGAGGACUGUCAUUCACUGCGGAACCCCUUCCAUCCUUUGGCACCCACUAUUUUGGUUUUCCAGUAUGUAUUUGGCUCCUGUUGGUUGUCUGGUUUUGCUUUGGCCUCCACUCACUAACCCAUCUGAAUAUUAAUUCAACGAGGUUGGGUACCAACUAAACCACAUUAUGUUUGAUGCUGCAGUCAGGACAGAGCCAAAAAACUAUGGCCCAAGAGCCUGAAUUAUAGGAGAGAGAAACAGCCAGGACUGGAAUUUUAGGAGAGUGACUGGGGACAAGCAUGGUGGCAGAGGCCACAGAAAAAAGAGAGUGUCCAGGACAUCAGAGUGGGGUAGGGUAGCAUCACAGUGGCAGCCAACGAAUGAAGGUAAACACUGUGGGAGCCAAAGCAGACCUAGAUGAGAGUUGGAGUCUGAAUUAACACCAGGGUGACUGUGGAAUUACUCCCUGAUAUUUCAUUUAAUCACUUUCAAAGGGACCUUUUCUCCCAUUACCACCUUCUUCCACCAAAGAAUUAGUUAAGGGAUUCUUCACUAUCUUAAACUCUGUAGUUGGCUUCUCUCACUAGAUCAUAUAUGCUUUACAAUUUAAUAGGGAACUGGGGAGACAUUUCUCUGACAAAUAAUCAAUUUAUAAAGACGGUGGAUGACAAGAAAGAAAAUAAAUCACUUACUGGUAUCAUUACCUCUUCAUUUUGCUAAACAAGACAAACUGACACAGCAAGAACCUCAAAACUGAAGACAAAGAA